rfam:Setaria italica strain Yugu1 chromosome IX, whole genome shotgun sequence.
CUCAUCGAUGACGGUGAGAUGGCAUCUCAUAUUCUCAAUGGGCUUGAUUUUGAGCAUAAUCCUUUUGUCUCGUUGAUGCUUGGUCAUUCGGAUCCCCUUCCUCUCUCCGAGCUAUACUCUCACUUGAUGUCUUACGAGA